rnacentral:rRNA from 1 species
CCUACGGGGGGCAGCAGUGGGGAAUUUUGGACAAUGGGCGAAAGCCUGAUCCAGCCAUGCCGCGUGUGGGAAGAAGGCCUUCGGGUUGUAAACCACUUUUGUCAGGGAAGAAAAGGCUUUAGAUAAUACCUGAGGUCGAUGACGGUACCUGAAGAAUAAGCACCGGCUAACUACGUGCCAGCAGCCGCGGUAAUACGUAGGGUGCAAGCGUUAAUCGGAAUUAUUGGGCGUAAAGCGUGCGCAGGCGGUUUUGCAAGACAGAUGUGAAAUCCCCGGGCUUAACCUGGGAGCUGCAUUUGUGACUGCAAGGCUAGAGUGCGGCAGAGGGGGAUGGAAUUCCGCGUGUAGCAGUGAAAUGCGUAGAUAUGCGGAGGAACACCGAUGGCGAAGGCAAUCCCCUGGGCCUGCACUGACGCUCAUGCACGAAAGCGUGGGGAGCAAACAGGAUUAGAUACCCCUGUAGUC